AGAGUUUGAUCCUGGCUCAGAACGAACGCUGGCAGCGUGGAUGAGGCAUGCAAGUCGAACGGUCCUUUUUAGGUAGCAAUAUUUGAAAAGGAUAGUGGCGGAAGGGCGAGUAAUGCGAGAGCAAGCUGCCCCUUGGCCGGGGACAACAUUUGGAAACGAAUGCUAAUACCGGAUAAGAAGCGCAACCGCAUGGUUGCGUCUUGAAAGAUGGGGACCCGCAAGGGCCUGUCGCCGAGGGAGGUGCUCCCGUGCCAUCAGCUAGUUGGUAAGGUAAUGGCUUACCAAGGCUUACGGCUAGGUGGACUGAGAGGUUGGUCACCCGCACUGGGACUGAGACACUGCUCAGACUCCUACGGGAGGCUGCAGUCGAGGAUCAUUCGCAAUGGGCGAAAGCCUGACGAUGCGACGCUGCGUGUAGGACGAAGGCCUUCGGGUCGUAAACUACUGUCAUGUGGGACAAGGGUGUCGGUGUUAACAGCACCAUACACUGGAUGGUACCACAAGAGGAAGCCACGGCUAACUCUGUGCCAGCAGCCGCGGUAAUACAGAGGUGGCGAGCGUUGUUCGGAUUUACUGGGCGUAAAGCGUGCGUAGGCGGUCGCGUGUGUUGGAUGUGAAAUCCCGGGGCUCACCCCCGGACGGGCAUCCAAAACUGCGUGGCUAGAGGCCGGGAGAGGAGUCUGGAACACAUGGUGUAGCGGUGAAAUGCGUUGAUAUCAUGUGGAACACCGGAUGCGAAGGCGAGACUCUGGAACGGAUCUGACGCUGAGGUACGAAAGCGUGGGGAGCAAACAGAAUUAGAUACCCUGGUAGUCCACGCCGUAAACGGCGCACAUUUGCCGUAGGGGGAAUUGACCCCCCCCCCGGCGUAGCUAACGUGUUAAAUGAACCGCCUGGGGAGUACGGCCGCAAGGUUAAAAAUCAAAGAAAUAGACGGGGGCCCGCACAAGCGGAGGAGCAUGUGGCUUAAUUCGAUGCAACGCGAAGAACCUUACCUAGGCUUGACAUGUAACUGCACGCUCUGUGAAAGCAGAGUUUCUUUGAGAGUGUUACACAGGUGCUGCAUGGCUGUCGUCAGUUCGUGCCGUGAGGUGUUUGGUUAAGUCCACCAACGAACGCAACCCCCGCGUCUAUUUGCCAGCGGGUAAUGCCGGGAACUAUAGACGGACCGCCCUUUCAAAUGGGAGGAAGGUGGGGAGGACGUCAAAUCAUCAUGCCCCUUAUGCUUAGGGCUACACACGUGCUACAAUGGGUGGUACAGAGGGCAGCCAAGUCGUGAGGCCGAGCUAAUCCCUUAAAGCCAUUCUCAGUUCGGAUUGUAGGCUGAAACUCGCCUACAUGAAGCUGGAGUUACUAGUAAUCGCAGAUCAGAAUGCUGCGGUGAAAAAGGGCCCGGGUCUUGCACACACCGCC
rnacentral:rRNA from 1 species